rnacentral:lncRNA from 1 species
AGAGCCGGUAAAGACCGAUGGGUGGUCCUCCCCUCGGAAGGCAGCAGACUAGAGCCAGCUACCCGAAGAACCUGACCAGCCAAGGCGACUUCGUAACACCAUGGUGGGGUUCCCUCCAAACUGGCCCCAAAGACCACCCUGCAGCAAAGCCACCUGGAAGCUCAGGGCCUCUUAUCAUCAUCCUAGCGACACUCUGACGUUUGAGAGAUAUUUUAACAUGAAAUAUAUACUUUAAUAUGGAAACAUCCCCUAUGGUUUUAUUAACAGUAUCAGAAGAUGAAAAGAGAGCGCGUCCAUAAAGCAGGCCGCUCAAGAAAUCUUUUCAAGGAAUAUGUGGGAAAUGAAAGAUCUGGAAACAAAAGCAGCUCCUGAAAUUAAUAAUAUAAAAGCAGAAAACUUUCAAGUUCAAUAAAAGAGUUAGAAGACUAAGUAGAAAAAACUGUGUGACCAGGCCAUGCCUGUG